UGAAACGAGCCCAACUGGAAAGCAGCAUCACCGCCAAGACACAUCCGGAGUCCACACACAAACACCGGAGGCUGCCGGCGAAACUCUCCCAGCGGAGAGCGGGGUUUGGCCCCUUUUUCCCCCCGCCGGCAGCCACAGGAGUCCCGGGGCCCGCGCGCCGGCUGCAACCCAGCUCCGGCUCUAGCCCUGUGGAGGCUACGCGCGCAAGCCUGGUUCCACCCGGGCCCGGCCGGGUCCUAGCCCCGAAGGGUCGGGACAACCGAGGAACGCGGACCGACCCGCCCUGCCGCAAUGCAGCCUACAGCAGCCGGAAAGGAAGCUCCGCGGGGUCCCAAGGUACCGGGGUCACGGCCGGGCGCACGCGGAGCCUCCCAAGACCCUGCGAGCCGGCGCCGUCCCGGACCCCGCGACCCGCUCUUGGGAUGGCAGGGACCGGGUCGGGGAGACCUCCGCGGACCCAGCAGAGGCGGGAGACCCUGAGCCGCGCCCGGUGCCUGAGCGGCCAGCAGGUCCCGCUCCCCGCCUGCGACGCCCGCGUCCGUCCGGCUCCGCGGGCGCCCCCGGCCAGCCGCGCCCUCCAGUCCCUCGGCCUCCCUCCCCGAGCGCACUCACGUAGACAGAGCUGAUGUCGGAUCUGUCGUAGAAGCGGAGCGCCCCACUCAGCUCCAGGGCCGGGGAGACCAGGUCGUCCCCGUCCUCCAGCUCCAGGUCCCCGUGUGCGGGGCCGAAGGGGAAGAGCUCCUGGCGGCUCAGGCAGCCCCCGGGCCCCGCCAGCAGCAGCGGCAGCAGCAGCGCCCGCGUCCACGCAGCGCGGCUCCAGCUACUCGCGGCCAACAUGUUCCCGAACUGCGCUCCCGCAAACCCCGUCCCGCGGCCGGAGCAGAGGAAGGCGGGCAUGUAACCCGACGCCCCUGGCAGCCCCCUCGCCUCCCGCCUCCCGGCGUUCCCACCCCGGGAAAUAGGGGAGGGGAGCCGAAGGGAAAGGGGAGGGCCCCGCCCCGUCCAGCGGGCGCGCCGCGGGGCAGCCCAAUGGCCGCGAGGGGGAGGGCGAGGGGCGACGCCGAACCUCCCGCCUUACCCGCCGCGGGGCCUGGGGCGCGGGUGCCUGAGAUUCCCGACACCAGCCCGGCUCGCACCGAACCGGCGCCUCGGCAUGGGGAGCAGAGCGCCGCACUCGCACCGUGGUCCUCCGGUUCGGGUUGGGCGGUGGAGAGCCCGCGACGUGGAAACGCUCCGGAUUCAGAAACGGCGCCCACCCCAUCGCCGCUCGGCGGCGUCCGGGGUCCAAUUCGCUGGUCCCGGGCUGGAAGACCGAGUGGGAGCUGGGAGUGAGCCAAGGGACCGAGCCACCAGCACGUUCCUGCGCUCAUCCACCCGUUCAUUCCGCUUGUUUUUGAUUGCCUGAUCCCGUGCCCCGCACUGUGGAGGUUCUCCAGGAAGCGGUGUCCCACCUUCCGAGGCAAAGUCGCCAGUGUACAACACAAGCCAGUGUCAGAUGAGGACACUGAGACUCAGAGUAAUUGCCUUGCUCAAGGACACUCAGUCAGCCAGAGGCAAUGCCAGCUCUUCAAAUACAGAGUUCUUUCCACGGCAGAGCUGUGAAACAGUGACCCAGAUCCACAGUGAACGUUCUGUCUUUGUCUGAAGAGGUUGCUGCACCCAGAGUUGGAGAUACUUGCAUUUGAAUAACCUGACGUCUCCUGUCCAGUAUACUGCUGAGCCCCGCCCCACUUGCCCGCCUGCCCUCCUCCUGCGCAGAGAAUCCCAGAUGCCCUGCAGGCUCCGCGGUCAUGGAGAUCCCCGGGAGCCUGUGCAAGAAAGUCAAGCUGAGCAAUAACGUGCAGAGAACGCAGAGAGCAACUAAUGUCACCCACCAAGCCCAUCAAAUCAGCAGGAACAAGAAAGGUCAGGUUGGGGGACCAGAGGUGCCUUUCGUGGCUGCACAGUUUAGCUAACAGGCUUGACUGGGGCAGGAAAGACUACGGUGAGCAUGGCUUUGAAGAGUACCUGGUUGGCCGUGGUAUUCCAUGCUACACUCUGGGCUGGCAAUAUUCGUCACGGUCUCAAUAAAAAUCUUGGCUUUAGUCUUGAGGACAGAGAAGAGAAUGUUCGACACAUAGCAGAAGUUACAAGACUAUUUGCAGGUGCUGGCUUAGUGUGCAUCACAGUUUUAUAUCACCUUAUUCUCAGAUGGCAAUGAUGCAAGGCAGAUUCAUGAGGGUGCAAGUUUCCCGUUUUUUGAAGUAUUUGUUGAUGCUCCUCUGCAUGUUUGUGAAUAGAGGGAUGUCAAAGGACUCUACAAAAAAGCCCAGGCAGGAGAAAUUAAAGGUUUCACUGGGAUCGAUUCUGAAUAUGAAAAGCCAGAGGCCCCUGAAUUGGUGCUGAAAACACUGUGAUGUUUUGAUGCCAUCAAGACUCCUGUGAUGUCAAUGACUGGGUCCAGCAAGUGGUGAAACUUCUACAGGAACGAGGUGUUGUACCUGUAGAUGCAUCUUAUGAAGUAAAAUAACCGUAUGUGCCAGAAAAUAAACUUCAUUUGGCAAAAACAGAUGCAGAAACAUUACCAGCACUGAAAAUUAAUGAAGUGGAUAUGCAGUGGAUGCAGGUUUUGACAGAAGGUUGGGCAAGCCCAUUGAAUGGCUUUAUGAGAGAGAGGGAGUCAUGGCAGUACCUUCAUUUUGAUUGUCUUCUGGAUGGUGGUGUCGUCAACUUGUCAGGACCUAUAGUUCUGACAAGUUCUGCUACUCAUGAAGAUAAAGAGAGGCUGGACGGCUGGACAGCAUUUACUCUGAUGAAUGAGGACGCCAUGUGGCCAUUCUUCACAAUCCAGAGUUUUAUGAGCACAGGAAAGAGGAGCGCUGUGCCAGACAGUGGGGAACAACAUGCAAGAACCACCCCCACAUCAAGAUGGUUAUGGGACAAGGAGAUUGGUUGAUUGGAGAUCUUCAAGUCUUGGACCAAGUUUAUUGCAAUGAUGGUCUUGAUCAGUAUCAUCUUACUCCUGCUGAGCUAAAGCAUAAAUUUAAAGAUAUGAAUGCUGAUGCUGUCUUUGCAUUUCAGUUACACAACCCAGUGCACAAUGGACAUGCCCUGUGAAUGCAGGAUACCCAUAAGCACACUUCUAGAGAGGGGCUACCGGUGCCCCAUCCUCCUCCUUCACUCUCUGGGUAGCUGGACAAAGGAUGACGAUGUUCUUUCGUUGUGGCAUUUGAAGCAGCAUGCUGUAGUGCGGAGGAAGGAGUCCUGAAUCCUGAGACGACAGUGGUGGCCAUCUUCCCAUCUCCUACGAUGUACGCCGGACCAGCUGAGGUCCGGUGGCAUUGCAGAGCACAGAUGGUUGCGGGAGCCAACGUUUACAUUGUUGGACGAGACCCUGCUGGCAUGCCUCAUCCAGAAACAAGAAGGAUCUUUAUGAGCCAAGUCAUGAGGCCAAAGGGCUGACGAUGGCCCCUGGUUUAAUCACUUUGGAAAUAGUUCCCUUUCGAGUUGCAGCUUACAACAAGAAAAAGGAGUGUAUGGACUCCGAUGACUCUGAACACCAUGAAGACUUGGAAUUUAUUUCAGGAACAUGAAUGCAGAAACUUGCCCGAGAAGGCCAGAAAUCACCUGAAGGUUUCAUGGCUCCCAAGGCUUGGACUGUGCUGAUGGAAUACUAUAAAUUCUUGGAGAAAGCUUAGGCUGCUAACCCAGUCACUCCACCUUUGAAAUGUUACUUGUAACAAGAGGGGACCACACAGUCUCGGUUGGCAUUUUUCGUGGUGUCUGUCUGGGCAUGCAUCCUAAAAACAGACUUCCUUAACUUGCAUCAGUUUUGGUCUGCCUUAUGAGUUUUGUUUUGAAUGAGUAUAACACACUGAUGGUUUUAAUGUAUCUUUGCCAUUUAUUAUAGUUACAUUCUUAUAAUACAAUUUUAAACUUUUGUCCUUUUAUAUUUAUGCUUUUAUCUCAUGAUUUUUUCAAGCUGUUAUAUUAGUUGUAACCAGUAGUACACACGUUGAGUCUUGCUUUUUUCCUU